CCUCCACCCUACUUAAUGAUUAGCAUUUGACUUAAAACUGUGGUGAUGUUAUAACAUCUGUCAUUUCCUUAUAUAAUUUUUUAACUUUUAAAUUUGAUGUUUAAAACCAUAAUUUGCCUAAAAGCAGAAUGAAUUUUCUUCUAGUAGAUGGACUUCAGCAUUGUUAACUGUAGGAAAUGGUUUACAUUUUUCCCUACGUCAGUUAUUUUUCCUUUGUGAAGAAUUGAAAUGCUCUAACCUGUAAACAAGCAUGUCACUUAAUAAAUUCUAGUACCAGAAAUUAAUGAAUAACAGC
rnacentral:lncRNA from 1 species